UAUCAUUCUUUAUGGUGUUAUCUGUUCAGCUGUGGAAUUGGAAGUGAAACUCAUGUUCACAUCCAUGCUAAAAUAAAUACCGUUGCAAAGGAUGGUACUGUUUGAGUGGGUGGUUGAUGAAACAGCUUUCCGUUCCUGGUCGAUAUAAUCCUCCCUGCAUUCAGCAAUAAACGCUGAAUUUAUUUGCUUUUUAUAUCCAGUUAGCAGAUAAUGGAUUUGGACCGUCAGAAGCGCCAGCAGGACAUAAGGAAAGCCCUGGGAUUCAUACAGUCGUCCUUGCCUUAUCCAGAUCCUCAAGGCUAUGGGGGGUUUCUGACCCAGUUGGUGUGUAACCUGUUGGAGGAGGGGAGUGCGGCGUUCAGUGAGGGUGCGUGGAAGCAGGCCAUAAAGGACUUCAGUGAGGGUGUUAACGUGGCUUACUAUGCCCAGGCUGAGUCUCUGGACAUCCCCUCAGCCCUGCUGGAGAGCCUGUAUGUCAAGAGAGCAGCUGCCUACCAAAGCGUGGGGGAGAACGAGCAGUGCGUGCAGGACUGCGACAAGGCGUUGGCACUGAACGAGGGCAGCUGUAAAGCACUCCACAGGAAGGCACUCUGCCUGCGGGAGCUGGGCCACAUCAGAGAGGCCUACGACUGCAGCAUGGCCUGCCUGCUCAGUGCCCCCAACGUGAGUUGUUCGUACCUGUGGUAUUCUGAUAUGGCUUCCAUUUACCUGUCAAAUCAGACCAGUCACUUUUAUUAUGGUCUUUGCCUUCUCAUCCAGGCUUCUCCUCACUGUGACUUUCCCCCCGUCGCCCCAUCCGCAACCGGGGGGCCCAAACUGCUCCAGUUCCCCUCAGGCCUGCCGGCCCCCACUCCCCGGCUACCCCCAGCUUUCUUCUACUCAGCCGUCAGCCAGCUCAACUCUCUGGACACCUUUCCAGGCGUGGGUGGGGGGGAUUCCGCGGGCACACUGGACUCUUUAGAUACCUUAAACGACCUGGAUUCCCUUUCGGGCCUUGGUGGUGAUGAUGCCCCCGCUUCCAAAACGGUAUUCGAUUCACUUGAUGCCCUAGACAGUUUCUCUCCACCAGAGGGCACAUUGUCAGCCAAUCCACUUAAGUUACACUCAAACUGUAUCCAUGUCUCACCCUGUCUGUCUUUGUCAGGUCCGGGGGUCUUAGAUUAUAAACACCAGGAACACCUGGCCCACCGUUGUCAGCAGAACAUUCUACUGUGUAGGAUCAAAGCUUUACCUCACCCUGUCUGGAACAGAGUGCGGCCCCGUCCUGCCAAGCAGAACUUUACCGGGGCAUUCAUGCUCUGCAAAGAGGUGCUCGAGUCUCAGGUGUGUAAGUACGGCGAGGACUGUACGUUUGCGUACUGCCAGGAGGAGGUGGAUGUGUGGACUUUGGAGAGGAAGGAGGUCCUGAACAGAGAGCUGCUGUUUGAACGGCAGGGCCCCAACGACAAGACAACACUCAGCAUCACGCGCCUGCUGCAGCUGCAGAACGGCAUGUUCAUGUAUCUCUGUGGGGUGUGCUAUGACAGUAGGCCCAGGAUCAUCAGUAAGCGCAGUAAGGAGGUGCCAUCCAUCUGCUCCAACCUUGCGGGCCGACACCAUUUCGAUGACCAGAAGUGCCUGGUUCAUGUGGUGAGGUCCAGCAGCAUGUCCUACACCAGGAUCCGCCCUCUGAACCCACUGUGCCAGUUGGAGAUGUGCCGCCGGGCAGUGCGCUACCGCUGCCAACGUGACCACAGCUGUUCCUUCGCCCACUCCGUCAUAGAGCUUGAAUGCUGGAAGCUGCAGCAGGACAAUGGCAUCACUCAUGAAGAAAUUGUGCAGGAAUCCAAACAACACUGGAAUAAACAAGAGCAAAACGCACACAAACAGAAGACACAAACAUCUUCAUCCUCAAGUGGUGGUGGUAGUGAGACCCGAAGAGGUGGAGGAGGCAACAAAUUGAACCUGAACAUGAAGUAUGUCUGUGGUCUGUGCUGGAGGGAUGGGCUGAUCAGUGAAGCAGAUAAAGCACUGAAGUAUUGCACAGCCAAGGCCAGGCACAGUUGGACGAAGGAUCGUCAGGUUCUGUUGGUGAAGUCCUUAGAAAAAAAGAAGUGGGUGAUGGUGCGGACGUUGCCUGCCGCCAAGACAUACCCUCAUCAGUAUGAUAUAUGCUCCCAUGUAGUGAAGCUGAAGAAGUGCCACUACAUUGGGAACUGCACCUUUGCCCACAGUGAGGAGGAGAAGGAAGUGUGGACCUAUAUGAAGAACAAUGGCUUGAAGGACAUGCAGCAGAUGUACGACAUUUGGCUCACAAUGACCAAACAAAACCGUCAGUCAGACCCUGUGCUCGCGCAAAACACGGAAGUGAAGCAAAUCGUCAUGCCAACCGACUAUGCAGACCCAAUGAGUGGCUUCCACUGUCGUCUGUGCGGUAGGCAUAGUCACAGCGAGCGCCAGUGGCAGCAGCACAUCUCCACAAAGAAGCACAAGGAACGCGUAUUUAGCUGCGAAGGCGAGGACGAAAGUCCGAUUUGGAAACAUCGCUUCCCUGGGCCCCGCUUUGCCCUCUGUCCCAGGCUGGAGAGUGAAUGUCCGGAGGGGGCGAGCUGUGACUACGCUCAUGGUACUGAGGAGCUGGAGGAAUGGCAGGAGAGGCGGGAAUUCCUGCGGCGAAAGCUGGCCAAGGCUCGUGAAGACAUGCUCAUCAUGCCGGACGAAUUGGACUUUGGGAAGUAUAACUUUCUCCUGCAGGACUGA
rnacentral:lncRNA from 1 species